AAGUAAAUUUUACUCAAUGGAGCAUGUAAAAAUUUCAUACACCCAGCGAAGCGGGUGAGGGCGAUCUAGUUGAAUAUAAGUCUUCCAUAAAAAUGCGAAAUACAAUAUUGUCAGCGAAAACAUAUGUAUGUAUGUAUAUUGAAGUCAUGAACUAAAAAGGCUAUUUCUCGUUUACCUAGUACAGAAAAUUCUGAAGUACAAUUUCGCGCUGCAUUCAGGAUCCAUAAAAAACGUUAUCUUAAAAAAACCCAUCACUAAACAAAACUACGUAAUUUGGAUUACUCAGUAUUCGAUUUAAUCCAAUAUUCUACUUUCAAUUGAAUGACUGACUUAAUUCUAGUUCUUUUGUUUUAAGAAAUCACCAUUUAUGUUCAAAUUA